rnacentral:rRNA from 1 species
GUGAACGCUGGCGGUAGGCCUAACACAUGCAAGUCGAACGGCAGCACAGUAAGAGCUUGCUCUUACGGGUGGCGAGUGGCGGACGGGUGAGGAAUACAUCGGAAUCUACUUUUUCGUGGGGGAUAACGUAGGGAAACUUACGCUAAUACCGCAUACGACCUACGGGUGAAAGCAGGGGAUCUUCGGACCUUGCGCGAUUGAAUGAGCCGAUGUCGGAUUAGCUAGUUGGCGGGGUAAAGGCCCACCAAGGCGACGAUCCGUAGCUGGUCUGAGAGGAUGAUCAGCCACACUGGAACUGAGACACGGUCCAGACUCCUACGGGAGGCAGCGGUGGGGAAUAUUGGACAAUGGGCGCAAGCCUGAUCCAGCCAUACCGCGUGGGUGAAGAAGGCCUUCGGGUUGUAAAGCCCUUUUGUUGGGAAAGAAAAGCAGCAGGUUAAUACCCCGCUGUUCUGACGGUACCCAAAGAAUAAGCACCGGCUAACUUCGUG